rnacentral:rRNA from 1 species
GUCUAUGGUCACACUACCCUGAGUGCACCCCACCUCGUCUGAUCUCUGAAGCUAAGCAGGGUCAGGCCUGGUUAGUACUUGGCUAGAAGAAAAUAAAAUACUAGGUAGAUU